ACUGCACUCCAGCCUGGGCGACAGAGCAAGACCCUGGCUCAAAAAUAAAAAAUAAAAAGAAAAGAAAAUGGCAGGACAGAGAGGUGAAAAGACAAGUGGAAAUAGGAUCCAGAUCACAGCCUGAGGCCAAAGUCCCCCUUACUUUUUUUUUUUUUUUUUUUUUUUUUGAGAUGUAGUCUCACUCUAUCGCCCAGGCUGGCGUGUAGUGGCGCGAUCUCGGCUCACUGCAAGCUCCGCCUCCUGGGUUCACGCCAUUCUCCUGCCUCAGCCUCCCUAGUAGCUGGGACUACAGGCGCCUGCCACCAUGCCCGGCUAAUUUUUUACAUUUUUAGUAGAGACGGGGUUUCACUGUGUUAGCCAGGAUAGUCUCCAUUUCCUGACCUCGUGAUCCGCCUGCCUCAGCCUCCCAAAGUGCUGGGAUUACAGGUGUGAGCCACGGCGCCCGGCAAUCCCCCUUACUUUUAACCAGCAUGCCAGCUACUCAGAUGACAGACAUUUAGCAGCUAAGAGCAAGGACUCUAUAGCCAGGCAGCAUGAGUUCCAAAAUCCCAGCUCUGCCACUUACAAGCUGUGAUUAUUGGGUAAGUUUCUUGCUCUCUGGAUCUGUUUCACCUUUAAAUGGGGCUUAUAGCAGAACCUGUCUUGUGGACUGUGAUUAGAAUUAAUAUGUUUAACGUGCUUAGAAAGGGGCGUCACACACCAUGAGUGCUACAUAAUUGUGGCCACCUUUUUCUUUCUCUAAUUAGUAGUUCUACUCUAUCACUGGGUCACUGCAUGACCUGCCGUUUCUUCCUUCUGGCCUUCGGGGUCUUGCUGCUGAAAAUAAGAUAAGACGGCCACAUUCAGCUGGGAGCUGAAAGAUGAAGGACCUGGGCCCGGCACAGCCACAAAAAAGCCCCAUUUUUCUGUUCUCAGACAUGAUCUCUAUGAGAGCAAGGGGUCAGGAAUCGGGGCUGCUUCCCGUUUCCACAUCUGCAGCACCCAGGAGGGGGCUCUGGCACUGGACUGUGUCACUGAAUGUUUGUCAAAUGAAUGAACAAAUGAACAAGAGGAGGAACAGAGGGAGAUGCAGAAAGAAAGCAGGAGGCUGGGUGCGGUGGCUCAUGCCUGUGAUCCCAGCACUUUGGGAGGCUGAGGCAGGAGGAUCGCUUUAGAUCAGGGGUUCGAGACCAGCCUGGGCAACAUAGCAAGCCCUGCCUCUACAAAAAGUGAAAAAACUUGCUGUGCAUGGUGGUGCACACCUGUGGUCCCAGCUACUUGAGGGGCUGAAGUGGGAGGAUGAGGGGAGGUGGUAGGGGCUGAGGUGGGAGGGGUUGAGCUCAGGAGGUGGAGGCUGCAGUGAGCUGAGAUUGCUCCACUGCAUUCCAGCCUGGGUGACAGAGGGAGACCCUGUCUCAAAAAUGAAAGAAAGAGAGAGAGAAGGAAGUGAGAGGUGACAGCAUGCUGGCAGCCCUUGCUCGCUGGCCUCAGAGCCCACUCUGGCCAUGCUUGAGGAGCCCUUCAGCCUGCUGCUGCACUAUGGGAGCCCCUCUCUGGGCUGGCCAAGAUCGGAGCCGGCUCCCUCUGCUUGCAGGGAGGUGUGGAGGGAGAGGCGCGGGCGGGAACCCAGGCUGCACGCAGUGCUCUCCGGCCAGCGCAAGUUCCGGGUGGGUGUGAGCUCGGCGACCCCGCACUCGGAGUGGUGGGCCGGCGCCACCUGCCCUGAGCAGUGAGGGGCUUAGCACCUGGGCCAGCAGCUGCGGAGGGUACACCGGGUCCCCCAGCAGUGCCGGCCCGCUGGUGCUGCACUCGAAUACUUGCCGGGCCUCAGCUGCCUCCCUGUGGGGCAGGGCUUGGGACCUGCAGCCUGCCAUGCCCGAGCCUCCCCCCGCCGCCGUGGGCUCCUGCACAGCCCGAGCCUCCCCGAGGAGCGCCACCCCCUGCUCGGCGGCGCCUGGUCCCAUCAACUGCCCAAGGGCUGAGGAGUGCUCCGCCUGCGGCCCUGGUGCAGGAUCCACUGGGUGAAGCCAGCUGAGCUCCUGAGUCUAGUGGGGAUUUGGAGAACAUUUAUGUCUAGCUGAGGGACUGUAAAUGCACCAAUCAGCACUCUGUAUCUAGCUAAUCUGGUGGGGACUUGGAGAACGUUUAUGUCUAGCUAAGGGAUUGUAAAUACACCAAUCAGCACUCUGUUUCUAGCUCAAGGUUUGUAAAUGCACCAAUCAGCACCCUGUGUCUAGCUCAAGGUUUGUAAAUGCACCAAUCAAUGCUCUGUGUCUAGCUCAUCUGGUGGGGACUUGGAGAAACUUUAUGUCUAGCUAAGGGAUUGUAAACAACCAAUCAGCACUCUGUGUCUAGCUCAAGGUUUGUAAAUGCACCAAUCAGCACCCUGUGUCUAGCUCAAGGUUUGUAAAUGCACCAAUCAGCACUCUGUAUCUAGCUAAUCUGGUGGGGACUUGGAGACUCUUUAUGUCUAGCUAAGGGAUUGUAAACAACCAAUCAGCACUCUGUGUCUAGCUCAAGGUUUGUAAAUGCACCAAUCAGCACCCUAUGUCUAGCUCAAGGUUUGUAAAUGCACCAAUCAGCACUCUGUAUCUAGCUAAUCUGGUGGGGACUUGGAGAAUCUUUAUGUCUAGCUAAGGGAUUGUAAAUACACCAAUCAGCACUGUGUGUCUAGCUCAAGGUUUGUAAAUACACCAAUCAGCACCCUGUGUCUAGCUCAAGGUUUGUAAAUGCACCAAUCAGUGCUCUGUGUCUAGCUAAUCUAGUGGGGACUUGGAGAAGUUUUGUGUCUAGCUCAGGGAUUGUAAACGCACCAGUCAGCACCCUGUCAAAAUGGACCAAUCAGCUCUCUGUAAAACAGACCAAUCAGCUCUCUGUAAAACGGACCAACCAGCAGGAUGUGGGUGGGGACAGAUAAGGGAAUAAAAGCAGGCUGUCCGAGCCAGCAGUGGCAACCCACUCACGUCCCCUUCCAUGCUAUGGAAGCUCUGUUCUUUUGCUCUUUGCAAUAAAUCUUGCUGCUGCUCACUCUUUGGGUCCACACUGCCUUUAUGAGCCAUAACACUCACCGCGAAGGUCUGCAACUUCUCUCCAGAGGCCAGCAAGACCACGAACCCACUGGGAGGAAUGAACAACUCCGGACGGGAGGAACGAACCACUCUGGACGCACCGCCUUAAGAGCUAUAACACUCACUGCGAAGGUCUGCAGCUUCAUUCCUGAAGCCAGCGAGACCACGAACCCACCAGAAGGAAGAAACUCUGAACACACCCAAACAUCAGAAGGAACAAACUCCGAACACAUCAGAAGGAACAAACUGCGGACAUGCCGCCUUUAAGAACUGUAACACUCACCACGAGAUUCUGCGGCUUCAUUCUUGAAGUCAGUGAGACCAAGAACCCACCAAUUCCGGAUACAUUUUGGUGACCCAGAUGGGACUAUUACCUAUCGCCAAGCGGUGAGACCACUGCCUAUCGCUGAGCGGUGAGACUAUCACCUAUCGCCAAGCAGUCAACGGCAGGGGUCUAAGGAGUGACUGCCCAACGUGAGGCUUCAAGAUGAGCCAAUUACCAAUUAUGCACGGCGUUUCUCCUUCUCUUCCUUCAUUCCCAUAGAGAAUCCCAUUCCUAUCUCCUUCGCCAGCCCAAGGCAAUGGGCCUCUCCCAGCAACUGGGUGGGCAAGUUUUACCUGCUGGAUAGUGUUGCCUCUUUCCUAGGUAACAGAGUGGCUUUCCUACCUAAGCCAGUCUCUGAUGCAAAGAAGAGAAUGCCACCUCCCUGGAGGACAAGCCUGAGCAACUCCCAAGCUGGCAGAGUGAGUGGCAGCAGGCAGUCAGGCUGGCUCUCCCAAGAGGAGCACAGGCUGCUCUCCUGAUGAGCAGGUCCCACCUGCCUGUGUCACCAACAGUGCGAAGAUCCCGGGGUCCUAUCUCAAGGGCAGGAAGGACAUCCCUGGCCUGAAGCCAGCCAACCCAUUAGGUCACCAGGUUGAUGCCUGCAGGACACACAGAUACUCACUUGGGUUUUUCAUCUGGUAAUGGUUCAGGAAGCCCAGAGUCUCCAGGGCAUCGCUCUUGGAUUCCCACUCCAGCAGUCCAGAGGAGCUGCGCUCACCUGAUUGCAAACCAAGGGGAAAAGUAAAGGUUUUAGACUCACCCAAUAGGAACUAGGCAGCUGCCCACCAACCACCAUGCAAUUAGGGCAAGGAGGUGGGCACACUCGACUCACUUUUGCCUGAGAAUACUUUCACAGAAGAUGGCCGCUUCACUCCCAGCUCAUCGCAGAUCUGCAAAAGAAAACAGGUAGUAAAUGAACUCUGAAACAAAAGGGCCGCCACACAGGAUUCAAGCAGACCAGGCCCUGCAUGACUCAGUACUUGAAGUUUUCAGGAGAAAAGGCUUGUAGAUUUUAUCACAUACCCUAAGGCAUCCCUGUGUCAUAAAAAGGCCAGCAACAAUGCUCUUUAAUUAUUAAGUUGCCUGAGACUGGGAAGCUGCUUUUUCGUUCCCAACUUCAACAGCUAUGUGGAUAUCUGCACCCGGCUGUUUGCUGAACACUGUUUGCUGAAUGCAAGGUCAACAUUUCAGACCACAGCCAGAUCCACUUGAGUUCCUCCUCCCUUCCGCUGCCUCAGUUCCCCCUGACUGAGCUUUACAGGGCCCCACCUUCUGAUGGUAUCAGGGUGAUGGCACCCGAAGCCUACGCCAAUGCGGUUCUUGUGAAAUUGGGCCCUCAUCACUGGGCCUGUGAAGCAGCUUUCCCAGCAAACGAGCAGUUGCCCUGCUUGCCAAAAAUGUAAAAGGAAGGAACGCGGCAAAUGGUGUUGCUAGAAACUUGGUGCCAUUCUCACCCUGUCCAGUUUGAGAGCACAGAUUCCUAUCUGUCCUGGCCUCUGCUGUGUCCCUAGCACUCAACCCAGGGCCAGGCAGGACAGGAGUUCAACAGCUAUUUGCAGAAAAGACUGAAAUGAAUGGCCUACUCAGACGGCCGUGGCAAGGACCCGACUGCCUGCGCAGCUCCACGGCACACACCUCAAAGAAGUUCUCCUCGGUCACCUCCAGCGGGGCGUUGAAGAAGUGCAGCACGUUGCUGGGGUGCUGGAUGCGGUUCUUGGCUGCCUGCUCUGGGGUGGAGAACCGAUUGUUCCGGGAUUCACUGAAGUCUUUGUAACUGCAAGACCCGUCUUCCAACCCGUAUGACUGACCAGGCAUGAUGGCUGGCUGCUUGGAGACACUGCAGCAAGGAAGAAAGGGGAGCCUUUGUCAUACCCAAAGUUGUCCCUGAAGCUUUCCCCUGUGGCCUCCAGAGGCUUAGCUUGCCCUGUGUGCCUUGGGGCAUUGCUCUACACCUGAGGCAAGGCUGACUCACUUUCUCCUGUGGUGUCAGAGACACGUCUGGGAACACACCUGCCACAUCCCAUUUCUGUGUGAGUCAACACCUCGGCCUCACUGUGCUCCUCUGCUGGGCCCCAUUCCCCUCCUUUUCUCUCCCCUGUACCUCUGCUGCCCUCCCGAGCCUGAGCACCUACCAGACAUUCAGCUUCUGCCCAAACAUGAAGUUGUUGUUGAGGUGGGUAAUGGCCCGGUCUACAGCGUAGCCAUCAGCCAUCUCCACCAUGGCGGCCCCCGGCUUGCUUUUCAUGAAUUUCACCUUGGGGAGAGUAGCUGCAGUCAGCACCUCUGUCCAGCUGCCAGGGUCCCCUCUCCUGCCCCUCCCAAGUUAGUGAUAAUAACCCCUGCUCUGGCCUCCCAUGUCCUCACAGUUAAUCGGGACCACUAGAAAAACAUGCCUGGCCCACACCAAGUGCUCAACCCAUAGUGAGAAGCAGAGCCUGGGCCAUGUUUUUAACUGUGGGACAUAACCCACCAGUAAAUCAUUUAGUGAAGCAUGACAGAAAACUGUACAGGAAUCAGAAAUCAAAUCAGCCAUUUUCACCAUUUUGUCUGUUACACACAGACGUGUGUGAUCUAUGGAUGGCUGUGUCUACAGUCACAAGGUAAAAUACUCCUUCAGCUGGGUUACAACAGAGCAGUGCCGGCUCUGGAGCCAGGCAGUCUGGCUCUGAGUCCUGCUUCACAUAAAGGCUAUGUGAACCUGGGCGCGUUAUUUAAGCCCCGUCCUCCACUUCCCCUGUCCAUCUCAUUAAGGAUUAAUGUGAGAAAUUACACAGGUCACUACAUGUAAAGCAUCUUUAACAGUGCCUGGUAACUAACAACACUUCACCUGUGUUACGAACUACUCUAAGUAAUGGGCCAAGUCAUGAGCUGCACAAAGGCCCCCAAGACCCAGACGGGUUUAAUGUUAAGCAAAAUGCCGCCUGGUCUCAGGUAGACACUCAGCCACCGCUAGCCCCAGUCAACUGUCCCAUGGGAAGGCAGAAGGCCCGGUGUUGCCAGGUCUUAAGUUUUCAGGAGGAAAUCCUUAAACGAUGGUGUUUCACUAUAAUGGAUUCAUUUUUAUGUUUUAUAAAUCUCUAUGUUCAUGUACUGGUAUUAGUACUUUUA